CCUACGGGUGGCUGCAGUCGAGAAUCUUGGGCAAUGCACGCAAGUGUGACCCAGCGACGCCGCGUGGAGGAUGAAGGCGCUUUGCGUUGUAAACUCCUUUUAAGGGGGAAGAAUGAGGGGCAACCCUCUUGACGGUACCCCUUGAAUAAGCCACGGCUAACUACGUGCCAGCAGCCGCGGUAAUACGUAGGUGGCAAGCGUUGUCCGGAUUUACUGGGCGUAAAGCGAACGCAGGCGGAAGGUUAAGUAGGAAGUGAAAGGUGGCGGCUCAACCGCCAGACUGCUCCCUAUACUGGCCUUCUUGAGUGCUGGAGAGGAAAGCGGAACGACACGUGUAGCGGUGAAAUGCGUUGAUAUGUGUCGGAACACCAAUGGCGAAAGCAGCUUUCUGGACAGCCACUGACGCUGAGGUUCGAAAGCCAAGGGAGCAAACAGGAUUA
rnacentral:rRNA from 1 species